GAAAGUAUACCUCAGUGGUAGAGUGUGCACUUAGCAUGCGUGAAGUCCUGGGCUCAAUCCCCAGUACUUCCA
rnacentral:tRNA from 1 species